rnacentral:rRNA from 1 species
AGGAUGAACGCUGGCGGCGUGCUUAACACAUGCAAGUCGAACGAUGAAGCCGGAGCUUGCUCUGGUGGAUUAGUGGCGAACGGGUGAGUAACACGUGAGUAACCUGCCCUUGACUCUGGGAUAAGCGUUGGAAACGACGUCUAAUACCGGAUACGACGCGCGAAGGCAUCUUCUGCGCGUGGAAAGAAUUUCGGUCAAGGAUGGACUCGCGGCCUAUCAGCUAGUUGGUGAGGUAACGGCCCACCAAGGCGACGACGGGUAGCCGGCCUGAGAGGGUGACCGGCCACACUGGGACUGAGACACGGCCCAGACUCCUACGGGAGGCAGCAGUGGGGAAUAUUGCACAAUGGGCGCAAGCCUGAUGCAGCAACGCCGCGUGAGGGACGACGGCCUUCGGUUGUAAACCUCGUUUAGUAGGUAAGAAGACGAAAGUGACGGUACCUGCAGAAAAGCACCGCUAACUACGU